AAAAAACAACUGAUUUACGUUCCCUGGUAGGUGAGGCAUUUUGUUUGUUUGUUUGGUUGGUUAAACAAACAAAAAAAAAAUUAUGUGUGUGGAGACUUCUGAGUCUUUUCACUCAUUGAGGCCACAUAUAGUUUUGUGAGGAUGUGUGGUCAGCACUCAUCUGCCUCUCUCAAAAGAAUUAUCAUCUGUCUCUUCAGUUCAGGAAAAAUGUUUUAUCUUAUUUUGUUGGUUAUUUAUGCUCCUUAAUAUUUUUCCUGUGGUGUUUUUUUGUUUCUGUUUUUGUUUUUGGUUGUUGUUAUUGUUGUUAUUUGUUUUUUCUUCUCCUUCAGAAACUGUUGUUAGAUGGAUGUUGGUUGGGCCUUCUGUGUUUAUCUUCCAUUUCAUUUGUAUUUUCUACCCUUGUCUCUGCCUUAGGAUCUGAAGUUGUUUUCAGCUUUAUCUAGGCUACCUGUUGUAUUUUUGUUCUAAAAAUCAUGAUCUUCUUUUCUAAGAAUAUUUAUAGAAUUGCUCCCUUUUCAUGGCAGACUAUUCUUGUUUAAUGAAUGUAAAACUUUUAACAUCUUUGUGAGGAUACUAACUAAAAACUUUAAAUCUCUGCCCCCCCCAUCUCUCUUUCCUCUGGGAUUAGUUGUUUUGUGUGUUCUUCUUGAUCUUUCUCUUUUGUGUAGGAAUUAGACCUUCCCUGGCAGACUGUUCAAUUUUUUUUGGAGAGUGUUUAUCCAGCUUUAUUCCAAGGGCAAGCAUUUAAGUGUUACCAAUUGUUCUGACCACCGUAUGUGGCACCAACUUGUAUAGCUGCUUGGAACUAUCUUGUAUCUAAAGCCUUAUUUUUUGUCCUGCUUCUUACUCCACUCUGUAUCACCUUACCAUAUGUGCUAGUCACAAUAAUGGCCCUCAAAGACGUCCACAUUCUAAUCCCUGGAACUUCUGAAUACAUUGCCUUACCUAGCAAUAGGGACUCUGCAAUAUGAUUAAGUUAGGGAUCUUGAGAUGGGGAGAGUAUCCUAGAUUAUCCAGGUGGCCCAAAUAAUCACAAAGGUUAUUGUGAGAGGUAGGCUGUAAGGACAGAGCCAGAGAUGGAGACAUGACAGCGGGAGCAUUGGUAGGGUGCUUGGCCCUGGACCAGGGAGCGUGGGCAGCCCCUAGAAACUAGUGAAGACAUGGAAACACAUUUCCCCUAGAACCUCCAGAAAGAACACAGCCUUUGGUUGCUCUGUAAGACCCAUUUCAGACUCCUGAACUUCCAAAGAACCAAGAUAAUUGGUGUUGUUUUAAACCACUUAGUUUGUGGUAAAUUUGUAUACUCCAAGUCAUGGAAGAAGUGCACAUCUGAGGGGAAGCUCACCUCCCAUUCCACGGACUUUUCUCAGCAUAUUCUGGGCUGUGGCCUCAUCCAUCUAUUUACAGACCAGAACUAUCCCAUCCCCUUUUUAAUUUCUGGAAGGCUGUAAAGCAUUUCUGAUCGGGCAGUGGUCCACCCCUCCCUAUUCCUAGUGCUGUCAGGAGGUGGUUUUAUUUUCUGUUUCUUUCUGAUCAUAGAGUGGGUUUGAGAAGGGAGAGAAAGCAUCAGAGUGCUCUUGGAGUCAGUGACACCCUGAUGAACACAGGGGUUUACAGAAUGCUUCCAAAGCCUCAUUAUUUUAAAGUCACAGCUGUCAAAGAUGACCCAUCAGAAGGAAUUCUUCUGGCUCUUCCUCCAGCUCCCUGAAGCCUCACUUUAGUUCAAUACAGGCAUUUGUGAGACAGCUGGUAGAGAUUAGCAGUGCAAGCUCUGUAAAUUAUGCAGAGUGUUUCUUCACAGAAAGAUAACUGGAGUGAAGCACCAACCGGGCCUCUAAGCCCCAGGCUCCAAGCCACAGAGCCAGCCGCUCAGCCAUCUGAUGCAAAUUCCAGCCAGGUACUGCUUUGCUCAGGGCCCCGGGCCGGCCCUGCAAUGAGGAGAAACACUGCUUUCCUCCAGGAAACUUUGGGAAAGUACCAGAAAGCUGGGCAGGCCUGUGUGGAAGCCUGUAUUCUGGAGUGGUGACUGCUGUCUCUUGGUCUGCUCCUGCAGGCAGUGACCUUAUUGCCUUGUUAAGGCUCAUUACUUGACUACUGAGUUCGGUUCUCACAUUUCUUCAAGUUCUGCAACUUCCUUGCACUUCAUGGAGAGAAGUCGUGUAUCUAGUGGGUUGGCAGCCUUGGCGUUCAAAGGGGAGAAGCUUCGAUGUUCCCGCCAGCAUGGGCACAGUCCACAAAACACAGCCGUUUCUUCACCAGUUGUGGCUGAGACUUGGAAGGAAGUUUCUGGACUGGAAUGGCUGAACAUCUCUCCUCAAGAUUUGGGGAAUAUAAAGAAAAAUUCUACACAAGAAACUUGGAAAAACAUCAAAGCACAGAGAUAAAUGAAUAAAAUCUGUCUGGGAAACAUGGAAAGACUUCUUCAUACCUCAUGGAUGCCCAUGUCUCCAGAUUUCUAACACUAGGUUUUCCAGGGUCUUUUGCCACUUCUCUUGGCAGCCCACAGAGAUGUACUUUCUGGCUAUACUCCACAUCUCCCAGGGGAGGACUCCUGAUAUUGAAAGGAAAAGAGAACUGGUGUAAGUGAUACACUUUCCAGGUCCAGAUAUCCAGCAAGUUUUGAGCCUCCUUAGACCAAAUUUCCUUCAUUUACACAUGCAGUGUGUCAAACUGUGUUAUUAGGAAGGUCUGUGGGGAAUCUAAAGUGCUCAGACUCUGUGAAAAGGUGGGAACAACAUCAUCUAUGUCAUCCACUCUGAAUUACCCAAAUAGUGAUGCAGAUUAUUUAAGGCCUGUAUGUCACAUCUCUGUUUGAAAAGGGUUGUUGGGAUCACACUGCUGCAUUUCUACAGAGUCCUUGGAAUGAGAGGGGAAAGUGGACAUGGAUGUCAUUGGAAAGGGAAAAUGCAGAAGCAAGAUGGUUGGGUUACCAUCACUUUCUGAAAUAUAAAGAUGUAGGAGUGCUUGGGUGUUGCUGGAGUUGGAGAAAUAAAUGGGAAGUUUAUCCCACAAAUCCAAUCUCUUUAAAUAUCUGGAGAGACUCCAAGAUUCCUGGGGGCGGGGGGUAUAACCCAACUACUUGCUUAACCUGCCCUUCAUUCCAGGAGCUCCAUAAUUAGAGCCAGGCAUGAAUAAUGAGGAGCUCUGCAAGGGUUACAUCAAUCUCAAUACCCCACCCUCUGCAAAAGCCUGUAGCAACAGGCUGAGGCUGUGUCUCGGUAGGUUUAGAGUAUUUAUUCCUUUGAUAAGUUAUUCCAAAUUCAAAGAGAUCUAAAAGCAAAGUGAGGCAAAACAAAGCAAAAUUCUUGGCAUUUGUGUUUUAUUUGUUUUGUACACUUUACUAUCUUAUUUGUUCCUUUCAGGAAUCAUCUGAAGUAGGCACAACAAAGAUUAUUAUUACCAUUUAGUGGAUGGGGUGGUUGAGGCACAGAGUGUGUGGCUAGCCUGAGACCAUACAGCAAUUUUCAUAGAGGUAGGAUCAGAGGCCAUGAUUCCAGACCCUUAGGCAGUUUCUCCUGUCUGCCCUCAUUGCGUCCCUCAUUUUGAUUCACUGAUGUGGCUCAAAGCAGCCAGUAUAUAUUAGGUGCCUGUCAUAGACCACAGCAGAGAGUAGGUGCCCCAUAGUUGUAGUUGCUCCUUUAUUUUUAGCCACUUUUCUUUACAAGCUCGGCUCUCUGGAAUGCACGCCUUCAGAGGGAGGAAUUUUUCUCAAUGAUGCCCACAGUGAGACAGAAUUUUAAAAAAUGGACUUGCUAGGCACUUUAUGUAGGACAACGUAUACUAUGGAGCAUGCAGAAUUUUGUGUUGGAGGCUAGCAAAGCUAACCCUAUUCUUAUUUUGCCAGCCUUUUGCUCUUCGGUUUCACUUCUUCCUACUUCACUAAUGCUCUCACCAAAUAUAUGCAAACAAGAUAUGACUAUUGGCAUUAACAUGAGCAAAAUGUAAGUUGUGUCUUCCUAAGUAAACGAGAGGAUUCCAGCCAGCAUUUGCAUUGCUUGAACCUUAUUGUUAUUUUUCCAUCAACUUCCAAAUGUGCAUCCUCCACAUGUAUGCCAUAGGUUUGUUUUAUUUCAUUUUUUUCUCAAUUAUUUUAUGUUGGCUUUGAGGCUCAGAAGUCGUAACAGUAUUGCAUGAUUAAUUUUGUUCCUCUAUUACAAUGGAGUUUUCAUGAAAUUAACUAUGCUGUUUUCUUUCUAGUAAUGUCCUCUGAAGAAUAUUUUAUUUUUGUCAAUUGCCGUGUGGUCAGCCUUGCUUGGUAUUUUAUGGUGCUUUUUCAAAUAACAAGAUGUUCCUGAGACCUUUCAGACCCUCUGCUGCAGCAGAACAGAGCUUUAUGUCUUCAUGGGAAAUCCAGAGGUCAGCUAAAGAAGCUCUUUCUUUAAGAGCACAGAAAAUGGCCGAUUUGGGGGGCCCACAGAGUGAGAACAAGAUUCACCUGACCUCCCAAAGGCAGCACAUUAGAAAUGGCCAUAGCAUCAGCAGAGAGAAGGGGAAGCAAAAGCAUCCCACAGUCAUGGAGAUGUGAUACCAGGCCAAUAGAGGUCUAUGUCCUGAGACUACAAAGAACUGCAAGGGUUUCCUAUUUAUUCUCCCAUGCGCAUAAAUAUGGCUAUAGAAUAUUUGCUAUAGAAUCUCCCCUGGCAACUCCAAGGGCUGUGUAUCUGCCUCUUUUUCUGAGUGGGUACAAGUUCAGCAAAAAGAAAGACCGCAUUGAAGGAGUGACAAGUGCAGUGCAAAGUAAGAGAAAGGAAAACAGAUGGAGCAGCUACUAAUUGCCACUGUCCUUGGUACUUUAAAAGUAUGAUCUCACUUAAUUGUCAAAGUCCCCUUGCAAUGGGGAUAUGAUCCCCAGUGUACAAAUGAGACCUCUGGCACUCAGGGAGGUUGAGCAACUUGUCUAAGGAGCCCAGUAUGUGGCAUUCAAUCAUUUGUUGAAUCAAUAAGGAAUGAAUGAAUGCUACACAGCCAAUACUGGGAAUUGAUAAAGGGAGCUCAUCUUCCCUCUGAUUUAUAGGAAUCAAUACUCCCUGUAGCAGAGGGGAAGACUUAGCAGACUGGGAAGGGGAGCUUAUUAAAUGAAAUUAUUGGCACGAAUGGCUGGCAAGAUGAGAGGGUGCUGUGCCUCUGAUUUCCCAGUUAUGCACUCUGUAGUGUGUCAUCUAUGAAAUCCAGAGGUCAUGGCUCUUCCCACCUUCCUUCCCACCCCAACCCUGCUUGGGGUUGUGUGCCUCUGGGAGCUCGAAGCACUCAGCUGUGAUACCUAAUGUGAUCCAGUUGUACAUAUUAUGUGUCUGGCCAAGAACUGGGCACAGGAAUCGAGGUCCUAAGUGUUUUCUGCCUUGGGGCAUCUAGAAGUGUGGUAAAGAGCUGGGAACUGUAGAGCUAGGUGACAAGCAUGGGUGUCAUAUUUAAAUGACAUGGGCUGUGCCCAGCAGGCAGGCCUGCUCAGAGGCCUCAUUUCCUUUUCCGGCCCUGUUUCUACUAAACCUUGUGGUUUUCCAAAUUGUGUUGAGAGCAAAUCCCACAUCCCUUUUGAAAUGAUUUGAUUUCUGCACUUAAAACUUCUACUAUCGUGCCAAUGGUCUGGAGGGCAAACCACUGAGAAAGCUUCUUCCUCGCGAAUUAAAUGCUCUGGGGCAGGGAAAAAGAGAGUGUGAGGUUGUCGUGCCUGGUUGAAAGCAGGCAGGUAUCUCCAGCAUCCAUAUCAAAGCCUUCCGUGCCCAUGGUGACAUUAAUAAUAAAUGAUGAGUUUCUUGCAGAUUUUCAACUAAGCAACAUUGCUUUUCCUGUGGUUAGGUCAGUUCUAGUGUGUUUGGCUCUAGUAUUUCAGACAUCUCUUGCCAAACAAAUGCAAAAGAAUUAGCAUGCAAUGUGGUAGUUCAAUAUAACAAAAUAGUUUUUAAGUGAAUCUUCGUUAUAAGAAGUUUUUGGGGGGCUACUAAUCUAGAUAACUGCUGGGGUGGUCUUGAGUUCUUUCAUCUGAUGUGGACAGGCCCAUUGGGUGGAAAUGGUUGACAGAAGUUGGGAUGGAUGCCCCAAUGGGGACCCCAAGUAGAGGUUGGGUGGGCUUCACCUCUCUGCCAGAGCAGAGGGCAGUUAAAAAAUGACUCCCUCUGGUUUCCCUCUAUCCCCUGCCAACCAACCCCAGCCCAAGCCACCGUCAGCUCUCAUCUGAUCAGGUAGAAACCUCCUGACUCCUCUCUUAGCUUCCACUUUCUCCCUGCUUCAAUUUAGGAAGCUGAGGUGACCUUCUGAAGCAAGUGCCAUUCUUAACGAUUUACAUCCCUGGUUGAAGCCUUUCAAUGCUUUCCAUUCCCCUUGGCCGAAAAUCCAAAAUCCUACUAUGGCCUUCAGUGCCCUGCAGGUGCCUGGACUCAUGUUCAUUGCUCUCCCCUCCUUACUGUGUUCCAGUCUUGAUGGACUUCUAUCUCAUCCCUGUAUCCAGUGAGCUCAUCCUCCUUCACAGCCCCUGCCCUUGUUUCCUUACCUCUACCUUAACCGUCUUCUUCUCUCCUUCUGUCUAUCUAACCUCUACCAACCCUCCAUGUCUCAGUUAAAAGUUGGUUUCUCAGAAAGUCUUCCUUGAUUCUGAAAUAAAAAUAUACCUCAUACUGUUUCUUAUAUUUUCCCUUCAUAGCACUUAAGACUAAGGCUAUUUUUUAGUGUAUAUUUUUUACAUGUGUGAUGAUUAAAAAAAAAAGUCUGCCUUCCCACUGGUUUAUAAACUCAGGCAGGAACCAAAUCUGCUUUAUUCAUGACUAUAUCCUUAGCACCUAACAGAGUGCCUGACACAUAAGAGGUGCUAUAAAUAUUUAUUGAAUGAAUAAAAAACUGUCUUCUCAUGCCAUCUGUCAAGUUUAUCUACCCUUAUUUUUAAAACCACUUCACGGGAUGUUUGGUUUCAGCCCUUGGAUCAGCGGGCACAGCCUUAUUGUGUCCUUUUAUGACUGCCUCCUCUGUGCUAGUUUUGGUGGGCACGCUGUCUGCACCCUUCAUGUUGGGCUUCUGCUUCUUGUCUUGAUCCAAGCUGAACCCUUGGAAUCUGAUCUCAUACUGAUUGCUCAAAAUCUGAUAUCUAACUGUCCCUACCUGAUGGUCUGAGUCCUUGCUCAAAGCCUGUUUAAGUGGAGCUCCUUGGGGUGCCUGGGUGGCUCAGUCCAUUGAACCUCUGACUCUUGGUUUUGGCUCAGGUCAAGGUCCUAGAGACAUAGGAAUGAACCCUA